rnacentral:rRNA from 1 species
CAGCCGCCGCGGUAAUACCGGCGGCCCGAGUGGCGGCCACUAUUAUUGGGCUUAAAGCGUCCGUAGCCGGGUUGGUUAGUCUCCCGGGAAAUCUGGCCGCUUAACGGUCAGAAUUCCGGGAGAUACUGCCAGCCUAGGGACCGGGAGAGGCCGAGGGUAUUCCCGGAGUAGGGGUGAAAUCCUAUAAUCUCGGGAGGACCACCUGUGGCGAAGGCGCUCGGCUGGAACGGGUCCGACGGUGAGGGACGAAGGCCAGGGGAGCAAACCGGAUUAGAUACCCGGGUAGUCCUGGCUGUAAACGAUGCGGACUUUGUGUCGGACAAGCUAUGAGCUUGUCCGGUGCCGGAGGGAAACCGUUAAGUCCGCCGCCUGGGGAGUACGGCCGCAAGGCUGAAACUUAAAGGAAUUGGCGGG